rnacentral:misc_RNA from 1 species
GGAAGGAUCAUUAGAGGAACUUAUAAAAAAUAGGCUUGGGGGUCAUUUUAUGGCCUUCUCGCCUUUUUUAAUACACACACAAAAGUUUUAUAGAAGUCGGUACAAUAACCCCUUGUAAAAAAGAGGUCGUACCAUUUUUAACCCUAACAAAAAAAAAAAAAAAAAAAACAAAACAAAACAAAACAUUACAACUUUUAACGGUGGAUGUCUCGGCUUUCGUAUCGAUGAAGAACGUAGCAAAGUGCGAUAAGUGAUGGAAAUUGCGGAAUACUUCGACUCAUCGAAUUUUUGAAUGCAACCUGCACCCAGGGACUCGUUCUCAGGGUAUACCUAUUUGAGCUCGGUCUAAAUAACUCCUAAAAAAUAAUACUUUUAGGGCAAAUUGAGGUUGUUAACUUUAAGGUACCGUCUGAAGCCCCUUAGCUGGGGAUCUGCAAGGCGGGACUGAAACAGUUAUCCCUUUAAAAGAAGUUGGUUAAAAAACUCUCUCUAACUUUUUUCAUCGACAGAAAAUUUAUUUUUCUCGCUGGAUAGUUCUAGGGUAGAAAACACCACACAAAAAAAAAUGCUAGACCCUUUAAACAGGGCUAGAAAAUUUAAAUUACGGCUUCUUAAUUGAAGUUUACCGACUCAAAUUAGGUAAGACUACCCGCUGAAUUUAAGCAUAUUAUUAGGCGGAGGAAAAGAAAUUAACAAAGAUUCCCUCAGUAAUGGCGAAUGAACAGGGAAAAGCUCACGCUGAAUCUGUGGGGACUAAACUCCUUACCGAAAUGUAGCGUAUCAACUGGCCUUCUCGGCUCGCUAGGUUUUUGAAGUCCCCUGGAACGGGGCGCCAUAGAGGGUGACAGCCCCGUAAUUUACUCUGGUGGGUCGAAUUUUUGGUCAGCUUGUAGAGUCGGGUUGUUUUGGAGUACAACUCUAAUCGGGUGAUAAACUUCAUCCAAAGCUAAAUAUUGACGAAAGACCGAUAGCGAACAAGUACCGUGAGGGAAAGGUGAAAAGAACUUUGAAAAGAGAGUUAAAAGUACCUGAAACCGUUAAAAGGUAAGCGAUCGGCACCAUCGUUUUACCGAGCCUGUGAUUCAUCCGCUUUCUUAGUAGUGGUCGUGCUUCGGUGAGGCCUUAACCGGUCCACCAGGUGUGGCUGCGAAGAAGUUGGCGGUGCACUUUGUGGGUUUGUUCUGUCAGGGUCAUCUUCUCUGGCGAUAAUAAGGACUGUAGGCUGGUACCUAGCUUUUAGCUUGGGAUAACCUGUGGAUAACCUGUCGUCGGGGGGGAUGAGGGUCUCGAAAGGGAUAACAUUGCUGGGGGUAUUCUUGAUUAGGGAUCGGUGGGGGGGUCAAACCUUCUGCUGACUCGAGUUCUGAACCCGGCAUGGACCUUGGCAUAGAUGGAAUCGAUCGUCCCGUCUUGAAACACGGACCAAGGAGUUUAAAUUGUGCGCGAGUCUUAGGGCUUGGAAACCCAAGGGCGCAAUGAAAGUAAAUAAACGCCUGAAGCCCCUUAGAUGGGGAUCUGCAAGGUGAACCGACACUGCUUUACGAAGCUGGUGUUCGAGUAAGAGCGUACAGUUUAAGACCCGAAAGGUGGCGAACUAUGCUUGUGUAGAGUGAAGCCAGAAGAAAUUCUGGUGGAGGCUCGUAGCGGUAUUGACGUGCAAAUCAUUCGUCAAACAUGAGUAUAGCGGCGAAAGACUAAUCGAGCCGCCUAGUAGCUGGUUCCUCU